AGUAAUGCAUAGGAAUCUGCCCAUGUAGUGGGGGACAACCUGGGGAAACUCAGGCUAAUACCGCAUGAGCCCCUCGGGGGAAAGCAGGGGAUCUUCGGACCUUGCGCUAUUGGAUGAGCCUAUGCCUGAUUAGCUUGUUGGUGGGGUAACGGCCUACCAAGGCGACGAUCAGUAGCUGGUCUGAGAGGACGAUCAGCCACACUGGGACUGAGACACGGCCCAG
rnacentral:rRNA from 1 species